UUACUGUUGUUUCUCUUCAUAUCGCAUAAACCUUUCGCCUUUUACUGAAGAUUUCUGUGGGGAGGAACAACAAGAGUCAAUCUCAAUUUUUGGUUGCUCCGCGAAAGCGGAGCU